UUCUCUUUAAUGUUUGAGAUCAAUUUGCGUUAAGAAUAGAUGUUUUGCAUUUAUUUGACCUAAGAGUUGAAAUUACGCGUACUCUUACGAAGAAAGUUAGCUGUAUUAUGCAAAUGAGUCACAUUUGAAAAUAAAUGGAGAAGAUGAGUAGGUGUAUUGUUAAGGCUAGUUUAAGUAGCAUUUAGCAUUGAUUAGUUCGUACUCUA
rnacentral:lncRNA from 1 species